GGCAAAUGGUUAAAGCUUCUGCUUCUGGACAGUUGGAUACCAGCUGGGUUUUGUAAACACCUGAAAACACGGAAAUCAAGGACUUCUGCUCACUGUCUCAGUCAUCUCUCAAGAUGCUCUAGAGCUACAUAGGGAGCAUCCUCCUGGAAAUAAGCAAUAGAUGAGGAGGAAGAAAAUGAGAAUCAUUAUAUCUCACAUUUCUACAGAACUUUAAAAGUGAGAAGAAGCAGCCAUCUCAACAUGGAACUGAGGACAAGUUAGCAUGGAUUGGCAUGUGAAUUCCUAGCAUGGAGUUUGGGUGAUAACUCUACCUUCAGAAUUCUCUUAAUCCAAUUGACAACUCACACAGAAUGACCAACAGCGCCAAGACCCUUCAGACUUUUCUGAGGAAUGUCAUUUCCCAAGAAUAUUGAUGGUAUAAAAAAAGAGAAAGGUAUGCAAAAAUAUUGAAGGAGACUGGCUGACUGCAUGAUGACAGUGGAAUAAUCACAACUUAGUGAUCUUUUGUCUAGUAAAGGCAAAGGCAGAGAAGAUACAAAGUGCUUUACAAUUAAUGAAAGAGGUCUUUCCUUCUACAGUCAAGGCCAAGGACUUACAUGGUUGGGGAGGGAGAGAGCUGUGCUAUGGUUGUAGCUCACAGAGUAGGUUAUAUCCCCACUUUGUAUCAUGUUUCUGUGAUUUGGAUAAUGUAAGCAUGGACAUCAAAACUGCACAACAGGGAACGUGCUCUGAAGCAUGGAAAUGAAAGCCACAAAGACAUAAAGCCUAGCACAAAAAUUAAUAAUCAUAUGGCAAAGGUCCCCCAACAGGAGACAGUGGAAAGCAACAUAAUGGAAUUCAUAAUGUGUUUGGGCAAAUUCAUAAAUGACACAGCCAUGCAUGGUGAAUCAGAAAGACUAUCUGAAAGAUAGGGAAGGAAGGAAGACUUUACAAGCACAUUCAGUUGUACCCUUUUGUGAAACGAAGAGAUUAGACUGAAUCAGAGGUUCUAAUGCUAGUGACCAUCACCACCUUCUUGUCCCUAAGAGGAAUGUAAAACAUUUCUGGUAACUGUGAACUUGGAUUGGAAAGUAGAUAUUACAUAAUUAUUUUCAUUAAUUUUUCUCUGAAAUUGAGCAGACCUUUCAAUUAUUCAAGAACAUUAAUCUGAGAGAAGGCUAAUAGGUUUUUCUGGAUUGCUAUGAAGGCUGAGAAAAGGGAUGGGUAUAGGGUCUGUGUAUGUGAGGCACAAAAAUGGUUAAGAAUCCCUGGACCUGAUGGAUCAGGAAACGAAGAAGCUUCACUCAAUUCCAGACCUAAACUCAUGUAAUCUUUUGCCUCGGUGACAUCUAAGACUCCUUUCAUCUCUAACAAAUUAGUAAGCUAAAUUCCUUUAUUGCCAUCCAGCUGCAGGUCAGGAUGGACCAUCAUUCUGAUUUAGUAUCCAUUCAUUCAUUCAAUAACCAUUUAUAUUAAAUGUCCAGUAUGUGUCAGAGCCAACAUUUCUCUUAUUUCAAAUACUUAUCAAGGGACUUUUGCUUCUUUCUCCUGUCAAUAGAAAUGCAAAUGUCAAAUGCUGGGCAAAUAACAAAAGAUCAAUGUAUACUUAGUUUAAUUCAGCAGACAGUGAGUGAUUCAAUGUGUUAAACUUCAGGAAAUUCUCCAUCUAGGCAGAGGGGUCUUUUCAAUUUAUCAGGUAUCACAUAAACAAGUUUCUUUUGAAAUAUAUAUAUUUGUAUUUUUUAACCAACAUGAAGACUACAACAAGGAUGGUAAAUUAGUUAAAAUAUUUAAAUAAGUGUAAAUUAUCUGUCAUUUUGUUAUUUUUGAGGCUAUGCUCUACAGUCAGGAUAGAAGACUUUCUGAAGGAAGGGUCCUUCCAUAGCCUCAUAUCUCACAAUGGUCUCUGUCAAAACUGUGUAUUAUACUGUAAGGGGAAGAAAAGGGAUUUUCAUAAAAGGUUGGACUGGAUUAUUCAAAAGCAGGGUCUCCAGAAAUGUUUUAAGAAACUCCAAAGAGAUUUAUUUACAAUUUAUUUACAAAAUAUAGAAAGAAUGAAAGUAAGAAAUUGAGAGAGAAGAUAGAGUAAGAUAUCCAGCCUAAGCACUAAGUAUUUUGCUCUGACCCCUGGCUCAAAAACAAGCAGAGGAGUCAAGUCCUUAGCUAGAGAGGCCUCGGCUCUUGUAGCUAAGGGCAUGGGGAUGCUGGCAGCCUCUCUCAAGAGGAUAGGUCUCACCUGAGGCUAGUCUCUUCAGAAAAUCCAGGAAAGGAGUCAGCUUAUUCACUCAUCAUGUGUCAGUCUAAAGGGAGAGGUUCAAGGACAGUCUCACCAAGUCUAAGGUGUCAGGUCCAGUCCACACAUUCUUCAUCAGGCUCAGCUCCAAAAAUUGAAGAACUCUCCAAGUCUGAAGAAUGAAGAAGUCCUCAUAGGAAGUUGUAACUCCUUUUUAAAGACACUUCUUUUGUGUCACUUCCUGUGCCUUCCUCCCCUUUUACAUCUACCAAUUACAGCUAAAGCUUUGCUUAGGACUGCCCAGGGGAUACUCAGUUUGAUUCUGAUUCAUCACCCGCUAUCACACACAUGGGUCACAGACCUCCCCCACUUAAAGAUUAAGUAGGAUAUUUACCCUUUUGGCGAUUAAAUCUAAAAAAUGGGCAGGGGGCUUAAUUUAAUCUUCACAAUUUUUUCAUUCUACCCUCUCCUCCUUCUCUCCUACCUCUCCUCCUUGAUUAUGAAAUGGAUUCUGAUAUAUCUCCUUAGAUCACCCACAUUUUAUGGACACAGAAUAUCAGGGAAGAAAAGGUCUUCAGAGGUCCAUAGGACCAUAGGUGUAGAGCUAGAAGAGACUCUUGAAAUCAUUAAGUUCAAUUCCAUCAUUUUGCAUAUGUGGAAACUAAUUUCAGAUAAAAAUUAAUGAAAAUAAUUAUCUAAUAUCUACUUUCCAAUCCAAGUUCACAGUUACCAGAAAUGUUUUACAUUCUCCUUGGUGACAAGGAGGUAGUGAUGGUCACAAGCAUUAGAACCUCUGAUCCAGUCUAAUCCCUUCAGACUUAGUUUCCACAUAUUCAUAAGUAGGGCUUGUGUAAGUAAUACAUUCCUAGUAAGUGUCUGAGACAAAAUUUGAAUCCUAACUUCAAAUCAAGAUCUCUAAUCACACCAGGCUGCCUCAGUUAGUCCAAGGAAGACCCCUCUCUCAAAUCCAAAUAUAUAGGUUGUAGGGAUUAAAAAUUAAUGGUUUGACUAAAUAUAUGAAAAUUAUAAAUAAUAAUGGUGAUUGCUGAUUCAACGUAUUAUUGCUCAAAAUUGAAAUGACUUUAAUAGUUUUUAUUUACAAAAGAGGUGGAAAGAGUGAAAGUAGAGAAAUACAAAAGGGUAGAGAAGACAUUAGCCUAUGACAUAGCACCUUCCUCUGGUGCUCAACUCAGCCGGGACUUGUUGACCUUCAACCAGAAUUAAACACUCUCCAGAAGAUAGGAAGAGAAAGUCCGCUCUCCACUCACUCAAGUUCCCUCCAAGAGGCAGAUCAAGUCAAUGCCUGGAGCUGAAGGUGACUCCUGAGGCCAAUUUUCUUCUUGAAACUGACUUACUUCUUGAAGUCAAACUCCCCAGCCCCAGAAAUUCAGGGCUUUUUAUAUGGCUUCUUGUCCCCUCCCCUCUUUACAGGGGCCAAUCACAGCUUCCAAAUUGUUCAGCACUGCCCAAGGGGAAUCCCACUUCUCUCCUCUGAAGGUGUUAAUUUCUAUUUUAGGCCUCUGAAUGUGUAAACCUUUUUUAUCAUGGGAUUCACACAUUUCUGACUGAUUAGGUUAACAGGGUGGAGCUCUCUUUACUUAAUGGUUAGCUAGGUACUAAUAGGGGUACUAAGAAAGAGUUGAAAAAGUGUUAAUUCAAAGUAGACAAAGAGAAUAAAUAAUUCACUUUUACAAGGGAACUAAGUCAUAUAUAAUAAAUAUAUUAGGACCUAUUCUUUAGUUGAUUAAUGGUUAUUGUUUAUGAGUAGGAAAUUCUCAGAGGAAAAAAAUCAAAGCUAUAAAUGGAUAUAUGUAAAAAAUACUCUAAAUCACAAAUUAAAGAAAUGUAAAUUAAGACAUUUCUGACCUACCAACUAACUUACAAUCAUCUGUUUGGCUAACAGGAUAGAGAAGGGAAAUGACAAAUGCUAGAGGGGAUUUGGGAAAUUAGGUAUACUCAUGCACAGCACAGUUGAUGGAACUGGGAACUGGUCCAAACAUUCUGGAGAAAAAAUUUGAAGUAUACCUAAAAAGCUAUUAUCUUUUACAUACCUUUUGACUCAGCAAUAACACUAUUAGAUCUAUACCAAAAGAAGAUGAAAGAAAAAGGUAAAAGAUAUACACAAAAAUAUUUAGAGGAUCUCAUUUUGGCAAAGUCUUAGAAACUGAAGGGAUACUUAUGAACAGGAAUGGAAAAACAAGUUAUGGUAUAUCAAUGAAAUAGAAUGCUACUGUGCUAUAAAAAUGAUGAAUGGGAUGGUUUCAGAAUAUCAGGGAAGACUUCUUUGAAGUGAUGCAAAAUUCAAGAUAAAGGAUCCAGAAGAACAUUGUACAGAGUAAUAGGAUACUGUUAGAUUGAACAACUAUGAAAGCUUUAGGUAGUAUGAUAAAGGGAAUGAUACGAGAUUAUUCUAAAGAACUCAUGAUGAACACUAAUAUUCAUUUCAAUGAGAGAACUAAAGAACUCUUGAGUACAAACUGAUGCAAUUUCUUUUUGUUUUUCUUGCUUUUUUUCAGUAUGGUUAAUGUGGAAAUAUACAUUUCAUAACUUCCUUUAUAUAAUAAAUAUUCUAUUUCUUCUAAAAAAGUGGGAGUGGGUAUAGAGGGAAGAAGAAAAUUCAAGGUUUUUUUUUUAAAUCUCUAGGUCUUCUUUCAGUCAAUAAAUAAGGGAAGGAAAAGGAUUGGCAUCAGUCAAAUCUAAAGCCUCUCCUCUUUGGCCUAAUUCCCCUUGUGCUAAGCUCUUCCUCCUCAGGAGUAUUCUGGAAAGUCACCCUAGCUCCAAUUUAUGGAAUGAAACUAUUUAUUUAGCAUGAUAACUUAUAGACAUCCCCUGGGAUUUGGUCAAGUUCCCUCCAGCAAGUUCACCUUGAAUCAUUUGCAAAAUCAUUCCAGGGGAUAUUUCUAUUCUUAAAGCCUACUGUUACAUAGAAUGGAUUAUUACUCUGACAAAAGAAAUAACAACAUGGACAGAUUCAGAGCAAUCUUGAGGAACUGGGAUGAUCAGGUGCUGAGUAAACUAAGAAGCAGGAGACAUUUGAUUAUGACUACUAUCAUGUAAAAUAAGGAAACUGGGAUAUUCAAAAAGUGAGAAUCAAAGCUUGAACACUGGAAACUUCAAUCACUUCCUUCAGUCUCCUUUUCUUUUCUUUAUCUUCAGAAUGGCAAAUGAAAAGAGAAAUUAACUCACAGAACUAUCCAAAAAUAUCACUUGGAAAGCCCUUUGAAAAUUUUAUGGAACUAUGUAAAUGUUGAAUAUUAUUAUGAUGAUUCCAAAAGACUGUUGAUGGAUCAUAUUUGUUACCUCUUCUAACAUUGAAAUAUAUUUACAUACAUAAAAAUAGUUGGAUAUUUUUUCCAUUCACUAUUUAUAUAUUCAUCAUUAUGGGGCAGGGCUAGAAAGAGAAAAGGAAAAUUUUACUUUACUUAAAAAGGAAGAGAAAGCAAAAAAUAAAAAUCCCUUAAAAUAAACAGAAAAGAAUAGAAAAUCAAGAACAGAUAAACAAGAUAAUCAUAGAUAAACAAGGCAGUGUUGAGAAUAAAUGUUAAUUUAAUCAUUAAUUUAAAUAUUCAUUUAAAAAUAUUUUAUUUUUUCAUGCAAAACCAAUUCCAUAUUGAACAUUGUUGUAACUGCAAACUUCUCAUAACCAAAACCUCAAACUAAAACCUUAAAUACACUUAUGUGUACUCCAACAGUUCUUUCUCUGGAGGUGGGACAGCAUUCCAUUAAUAAGUCUUUCAGGAUUGUCCCAUAUCAUUGCAUUGCUGAGAGUAGCCAAGUUUUCACAGAAAAUCAUCAACCAAUAUUGCUGUUACUAUGUACAAUGUCCUCAUCGUUCUGCUUAUUUAACUCUGUAUCAGUUUCUGCAGAUCAUUCCAGUUUUUUCUGAAAUUAUCUUGCUCAUCAUUUCAUAUAGCACAAUAGUAUUCCAUCACCCACAUGUACCACAAUUUGUUUGGCCAUUCCCCAAUUGAUGGACAUCCCUUCAAUUUUUAAUUAUUUGCCACCACAAAAAGAGUUAACUAUUAAUAUUUUUGUACAAGUAGGUCUUUUCUACUUUUACUGAUAUAGACCAAAUAAUGCUUUUAAUGUACAUUUUAAAAAUUUUGUGUCCAAAUUCUCUUUCUUCUCCAUUUUCCUCCUACUCAUUGAGAAGGCAAGCAAAAUAUAAAUUAUACAAGUGAAAUUGUGCAAAACAAAUUUCUCAAUUAGUCAUGCUAAAAAAAAAUAAGAUAAAAAUAUGCAUCAAUCUGCACUGAACUUUAGCUCUUUCUCUGGAGGUAGAUAGCAUUUUUCAUGAUGGAUCCUUUGGAGUUGUCUUGGUUUCUUUAUGUCAGUACCUACUAAGUCUUUCACAAUUGAUCAUACAUUCAACAAAUACAGUUGUUAAUGUAUACACUUUUCUCCUGAUUCUUCUUAUUUUACUAUUCAUCAAUUCAUAGAAGCCUUCCCAGGUUUUGCUUAAUAUUAUUCUUCCCAUCCUUUCUUAUAGCACAAUAGUAUUCCAUCACCAUCAAAUAAUACAACUUGUUUAAUCAUUUCCCAAUUUAUCAGCAUCCCCUUUAUUUACAAUUUUUGCCACCACCAAAAGAACUACAAAUAAUUUUGUUAAUAUGAGUCCUUUUUCCCCAUUUUAUUUGAUGUCUUCAGGAUAUAGACCUAGUAGACAUAUUGCUGGGACAAACAGUAUGCACAAUUUUAUAGUCCUUUGAGUGUAGUUACAAAUUCUCCCGAAUGGUUGGGUCAUUUCACAACAUCAACAGCACAUUAGUGUCCCUAUUUUUCCAUAUCCAGCAUUAAUCAUUUUCCUUUCCUGUCAUGAUAGUCAAUUUAUUAGGUGUGAUAUGGUACCUCAGAGUUGUUUUAAUUUGCAUUUAUCUAAUUAAUAGUAAUUUAGAUCAUUUUUAUAUUAAUGCUGAUAGCCUCAAUUUCUUCUUCUAAAAAUGGACUAUCACAUCCUUGACCAUUUAUCAACUGGGAAAUGUCUCUUAUUUUUAACCAUUUCAUUCAGUUCCCUAUAUGUUUGAUGAAUUAGGUCUUUAUCAGAAAAUCUGCUGUAACCCCUCUCCCUUUCUCCUAUUCUUCUAAUUUUGGCUUCAUCCUUUUUAUGUGUGUAAAUCCCUUUUACAUUUCAUGUAAACAAAAUUAUCCAUUUUAUUUCGCACCUCUUUUUUGGGAAGGAAGACAUAAAGUCUUCCCUUAUUCAUAGAUCUGACAGUUAAAUUCCUUCAUGAUCCUCCAAUUUACUUACGAUAUCACUCUAAGUCUAACCACACCACCCUAAAUAUAGAUAACAGAUCAGUUUCUAAUAAAAUCACUUUCUUAAUUUUCUUUUUAUAUGAAACUCUUGGUUUGUUGAAAGAUGUAAAGUUGACAAUUCUAAAAUGCAUACAAAUGAAGGAUAUACUAUAGGUAUUUGUUCACUGGACCUCAAUGAUGGGCUGUACUUGUAAGAGAAGAGCUUCUACAAUGGAACUAUUCAACCCAACCAAGAGGCAUGUUAUGUAUAAUGGUACAUUUACAAUUUCAUUUCAGUAUGUCCAAUGGCAUAGUAUCAUUCCAAACAGGAAAAUCUCAUUAAAGUGACUUUAUCACAGUAUAAAACAUCAUUUCAGGAUGAAAAAAACAAACCAAACAUUGGCAGUCUGACCCUCAACGAAUGAUAGUUACAUGAAAUAUGUGGCAAGGGACAAAAGUUUGCCAUGGAAAAACUUUGCUAUGUACUUAUGAUGUAAAUGUUACAGGAGGAAUAAAAUAGAAUUCCAGAGCUCUAGAGUAUAAGCAGUUUAACCACUUUAUUUUAUUGCCACCAAUAUAAGCAAUUUACUUCUGAAGAGAUCAAUACACUAUAUCCCAGACCUCUAAAAAACAAAAAUAUUCAGCAGAUCCCUAUAUUGCUAGAGUAGAUAGUCUUAGUUUGAACAAAUAUGGGGGUUGGGGGGAAUAGCCUUGAAACCAGUGAGGACAAUGCAGUUACUGAGGCUUUAAAAAACUAGGAAGCUCCUGAUUCUCGAGCAUUUUGCUAUUUUUUCCCAAGGUUCCAGGUGGCUUUUGCAUGUAAUCAAUUAGGUAAAUCUUGGCCUUUGCCUCCACUAUUACAAACAGUAUUACCAGACCGUGUAAGUGGUAUAAGUGUCACUAAUCCCAUAGGAAAUUCAUCUAAUUAAGACAUAAAACGAUGUGAAUAACAAAAGAGAAUCUUGUUUACCUUCCAUGCAAAAAUAAUUAUAAUCCACUUAAAUGAGGUCAGGGAGCCUGCUAUCUAAUUUUCACCCCACCCCUCAAGUAAUAUUCUCCAGCUCAAUGGGAGAGAGACAUGAAACCUUUAGAAUUAAUGGUUCCAUAGACAAAGGUUACAGUCCAGUGCCAUCUGACCAUCAUAAUACUCAGGUAGUGAGAACUACUGGAUGGGUAGGAUAAAGUUUUGGGAAAUCUCUCACCUCAGAUUUAAGACUCUGGUGAUUCUCUGGAAAUGUCUAGAUUUAGGAAACCCAUUCCAAUAAUGAUCUAUAUAGUGAAUCUUCCCUCUCUCAACUCUAUUUAGACUCAGCAGGAAUUCCCUUUCUUCCUGACUCUAUUCCAACCAUCAGCAUUGGUAAAACCACCUGUUAAACAUGGUACCCUUCAGAAUACUUGCUGCUGAUUAAUGUCUUCUCUUUACAGUAAGACACAUAGACUUCUGGGAAAUAUUAGCUUGAUUUAUUUUUCCAAUUGAGCAAAGGUCUCUCAACUUUAAGCUAGAGAAACUGAGGUUCUGUGGAUUUUGGUCCUUAGCCAAAAUCAUAAUAAUUUUUAAAAUAUAUAUAGCACUCUGAGGUUUGUAAAUUGAUUUAUAUACAUGUAGAUAUGGAUAUAUUAUUUCAUAUGAUACUAACUCUAACACCAUACAGUAAGUACUACUGCUGUUCACAUUUUAGAGAUGAGGAAAUCAGGACUGAGAGAAAAGUUAGGUGCUAUGUUUAGAGUCAUACAGAUAGUAAGGGUCUAAGGCAGUUUUUUAAUGGAAGUCAUCUUGAUUCCAAGUCGAACAUUCUAUCCAUUGUGUCUUAGAUAUACUAGCAUCUAAGUCUAUAUUUGAUGAAACCAUGAGUAGAGGAUAGACAGUUUCUUAUGAGUCCUUAUAGUAGAGCACCCAUUCUAAUCAAAGAAAAAAAAUCUUAAGUUAUUCCAUUCAGUUGGAAUAUUUCUCAUGUGUGUACAUUUGUGGAUCCUUACACCAUAAAUACACAGGCAGGACCAUCAGGAGUUUAGCUCACCGGCUUCCUUAUUACAGUAAUUAGUUAACUGGGGGAACAAGUGAGAAUUAAUUUACCCAAAGUCUUGCAGAUAGUCAGGCAACAGAUUGAGGAUUCCUACGAGGAUUCCUACCCAGGUAAUCUGAUUCUGAUUUCAGGAUUCUACCCACUGCGCUCAGCUACUUACAUUCUUUAUAAAUAUACGUAUACUUCAAUUAUGAACUGUCCUUCCUGAAAUUCUGAGCAAGACAUAUUAGAAUUGUCUCUUUGAGAGGGUGAGAUGAGAGAGCAUUCCACAAGACCUAUAAUGUAGUAUCAAGAGUGGGUGAAUAGAGAGAGAAUUCCUAAUCUCAGCUCCACCACAAACUGGCUCUAUGACCUUCAGCAAAUCAUUUAACCUACUGAUUCUCAGUUCGAAUUAAAGGUUCUUAGAUUGAACUAAGAUUUCGCUGUACCUGAAAAGUCAUAAAACUCUAAAAACAAACAAAAAAAAAUAAAAACCUCAACAACCAAAAACCCCCCCAAAAAAACCCCAAACCCAAAACCUUCCAUUGCCAUGUAAACUGAUGACAGUUAUCUAUUGGUGAUUCCCAAAUUAGUGUAUGUACUGGUUCCAUCUUUAGUCAUAGGAGUAUAUGGUCCCAUUCUCCCAAUCUGGUCUCUCAUUGCCCAAAGCAGGGAAUGGGGGCAUGGGGGACUUGAGCAAAUCCCCUCAUUCCUAGUGUUCUCAGAGCCACUUACUGAAACUCCCAAGUUUGCUGAUUUGGCAUAGUUAUAAUUUGACCCUCCUGGUUAAACUUUGAGCCCCCUCCCCUUCAUUUUGACCCAUGUGUCCUGACUCCCUUCCCCACCUCUCCCCCAUCCCCAAGUGACAGCAGCCACAGGAGACCUUCUGUCUAGAAACAUUAUGGAAACCAGAGCCUCCAGAUACUCACUUUCCCACCAUUGAUCCAGGGCAUCCACUUGCCUGCUGGAGCCUGGAAUGGUUGGGGCAGGAAAGACCUUGGGAGACACUAUCCAUGCCUGCAGUGCCGUCCAUGCAUCUACAGCCCCCUAAGCUUUAGUAAUUGGCUAUUUCAGUAGACCAUUCUGACUGUUCCUGGUGUUUCAGUGCACCCUUCCCUUGAAUGUCUUUCUGAAUUCGGAGGUCAUUCCACAUUCAGGUUUGUUUAUUUCUGAUCAAAUGGAAAUCUAUUAGGGAGAUACAAGUUGUCAUUUUAUCGCAAAAUGAUAGACGGUUAUGCAAUAGAGGGCAGUAAUUAUAGAUCGGAGCUCAUGGAAUGUGAGAGCUAGAAGAGACCUUAGGGACAAACUAGUCCAAACCCAUCAUUAAAAAUAUAAUGAAACAGAAACCCCAAAAUGGGAAGUACAUUGUCUAAGGUCACAAAAGGAGUUAGUGGCAGAGCUUGGAUGAGGAUCCAGGUUUCUUAUCUGAUCUCAUGAAAAUGUCACAUUCUUAGUCAGCAAAUGCCAUAGAACUACAAAAUCUACUUUUCACUCACUGGAAAUUAAAAAAAAAAAAACUAAAUGAAAUAUCUCAAUCUUUAAAGCUAAAAUCAAGUGAUGGAUGCAACCAGUUUGCCAAACAGAACAUCCCUGAAAAUUUGAUUCAUAGGUAGAUAGAGAGAAAGAGAUUUAUAUGUCCUAUGGACUUGUUAAAUAUCAGAUAUUUGUCAUAUUUUAUCUAUACCUUGCCUCUUAGUUUAUAUAUCACCUA